ACCAGACUCCUACGGGAGGCAGCAGUGGGGAAUAUUGCACAAUGGGGGAAGCCCUGAUGCAGCGACGCCGCGUGAGUGAAGAAGUAUUUCGGUAUGUAAAGCUCUCUCAGCAGGGAAGAAAAUGACGGUACCUGACUAAGAAGCCCCGGCUAACUACGUGCCAGCAGCCGCGGUAAUACGUAGGGGGCAAGCGUUAUCCGGAUUUACUGGGUGUAAAGGGAGCGCAGACGGCUGUGCAAGUCUGGAGUGAAAGGCGGGGGCCCAACCCCCGGACUGCUCUGGAAACUGUAAAGCUGGAGUGCAGGAGAGGUAAGCGGAAUUCCUAGUGCAGCGGUGAAAUGCGUAGAUAUUAGGAGGAACACCAGUGGCGAAGGCGGCUUACUGGACUGCAACUGACGUUGAGGCUCGAAAGCGUGGGGAGCAAACAGGAUUAGAUACCCCCGUAA
rnacentral:rRNA from 1 species